AGAGUUUGAUCAUGGCUCAGGACGAACGCUGGCGGCGUGCUUAACACAUGCAAGUCGAGCGGAAAGGCCCUUCGGGGUACUCGGGUGGCGAACGGGUGAGUAACACGUGGGUGAUCUGCCCUGCACUCUGGGAUAAGCCUGGGAAACUGGGUCUAAUACCGGAUAGGACCGCAUGCUUCAUGGUGUGUGGUGCAAAGCUUUUGCGGUGUGGGAUGAGCCCGCGGCCUAUCAGCUUGUUGGUGGGGUAAUGGCCUACCAAGGCGACGACGGGUAGCCGGCCUGAGAGGGUGACCGGCCUCACUGGGACUGAGAUACGGCCCAGACUCCUACGGGAGGCAGCAGUGGGGAAUAUUGCACAAUGGGCGCAAGCCUGAUGCAGCGACGCCGCGUGAGGGAUGACGGCCUUCGGGUUGUAAACCUCUUUCAGUAGGGACGAAGCGAAAGUGACGGUACCUACAGAAGAAGGACCGGCCAACUACGUGCCAGCAGCCGCGGUAAUACGUAGGGUCCGAGCGUUGUCCGGAAUUACUGGGCGUAAAGAGCUCGUAGGUGGUUUGUCGCGUUGUUCGUGAAAACUCACAGCUUAACUGUGGGCGUGCGGGCGAUACGGGCAGACUAGAGUACUGCAGGGGAGACUGGAAUUCCUGGUGUAGCGGUGGAAUGCGCAGAUAUCAGGAGGAACACCGGUGGCGAAGGCGGGUCUCUGGGCAGUAACUGACGCUGAGGAGCGAAAGCGUGGGUAGCGAACAGGAUUAGAUACCCCGGUAGUCCAA
rnacentral:rRNA from 1 species